AGUGAACGCUGGCGGUAGGCCUAACACAUGCAAGUCGAACGGCAGCACAGUAAGAGCUUGCUCUUACGGGUGGCGAGUGGCGGACGGGUGAGGAAUACAUCGGAAUCUACUUUUUCGUAGGGGAUAACGUAGGGAAACUUACGCUAAUACCGCAUACGACCUACGGGUGAAAGCAGGGGAUCUUCGGACCUUGCGCGAUUGAAUGAGCCGAUGUCGGAUUAGCUAGUUGGCGGGGUAAAGGCCCACCAAGGCGACGAUCCGUAGCUGGUCUGAGAGGAUGAUCAGCCACACUGGAACUGAGAAACGGUCCAGACUCCUACGGGAGGCAGCAGUGGGGAAUAUUGGACAAUGGGCGCAAGCCUGAUCCAGCCAUACCGCGUGGGUGAAGAAGGCCUUCGGGUUGUAAAGCCCUUUUGUUGGGAAAGAAAAGCAGCAGGUUAAUACCCCGCUGUUCUGACGGUACCCAAAGAAUAAGCACCGGAUACCUUCGU
rnacentral:rRNA from 1 species